UACGAAGGGACCUAGCGUAGUUCGGAAUUACUGGGCGUAAAGCGCGCGUAGGCGGACUAGAAAGUUGGGGGUGAAAUCCCGGGGCUCAACCUCGGAACUGCCUCCAAAACUGCUAGUCUAGAGUACAAUAGAGGGGAGUGGAAUUUCCGGUGUAGCGGUGAAAUGCGUAGAGAUCGGAAGGAACACCAGUGGCGAAGGCGGCCACCUGGCAAGUAACUGACGCUCAGAUGCGAAAGCGUGGGUAGCAAACGGG
rnacentral:rRNA from 1 species